rnacentral:rRNA from 1 species
UACAGAGGUCUCAAGCGUUGUUGGAAUCACUGGGCGUAAAGGGUGCGUAGGCUGCACGGUAAGUCAGAGGUGAAAUCCCGGAGCUCAACUUCGGAAUUGCCUCCGAUACUGCCGUGCUUGAGGACUGGAGAGGAGAUUGGAAUUCACAGUGGAGCAGUGAAAUGCGUAGAUAUUGUGAGGAACACCAGUGGCGAAGGCGGUGCUCUGGGCCGGAACUGACGCUGAGGAGCGAAAGCGUGGGGAGCAAACAGG